GCCCCACGCGCGGGCUCGCGCUUCGGUUUCCCCAGACCUGCUCGCAGCACCCUGCUGUCUUCCCGGUCCGGCCCGCUGCCCGCGGCGCCAGCACCAUGCUCUUCUAUUCUUUUUUCAAGUCCCUUGUGGGCAAGGAUGUGGUCGUGGAACUAAAGAAUGACCUGAGUAUCUCAACAUCAAACUAACUGACAUCAGUGUCACAGACCCUGAGAAAUACCCUCACAUGUUAUCAGUGAAGAACUGCUUCAUUCGGGGCUCAGUGGUCCGAUACGUGCAGCUGCCAGCAGAUGAGGUCGACACACAGUUGCUACAGGAUGCGGCAAGGAAGGAAGCCCUGCAGCAGAAACAGUGAUGGCUCCUCCUCCUCUUCCCCUCCCUCUUUCAUUGGUGACCCAUAACCCCAAGUCCCAGCCCAGAACCCCUAACCCCCAAUACUUGAAGGGGUUUUGUUUUUUUACUAAUGAUGGUUUUGUGGGUUUUUUUUAAGGGAUGAGUGGAUGAGAGGAGUAAUAGGGAACAGCUAUCCUCUCUUGAGAAGGGGAGGAUAAGUAGGCUGGGAAACUUCAAAGCCUUCCCAGUCCCCAGCACCUGCCUUUCUCACUACUUCUCUGGAGAUGGUAGGAGAGUUUCCUAGGUCUUUCCAGGGCAGCAUGUGAUUCAUUUGGGGAUGGAAGGAAUCUGUCCCGCAUCGGGAAUAAAAUUUAUGAUGCAAA
rnacentral:lncRNA from 1 species